AGCGAACGCUGGCGGCAGGCUUAACACAUGCAAGUCGAGCGGGCAUCUUCGGGUGUCAGCGGCGGACGGGUGAGUAACGCGUGGGAACGUGCCUUCUGGUUCGGAAUAACUCAGGGAAACUUGAGCUAAUACCGGAUACGCCCUUUUGGGGAAAGGUUUACUGCCGGAAGAUCGGCCCGCGUCUGAUUAGCUAGUUGGUGGGGUAACGGCCUACCAAGGCGACGAUCAGUAGCUGGUCUGAGAGGAUGAUCAGCCACACUGGGACUGAGACACGGCCCAGACUCCUACGGGAGGCAGCAGUGGGGGAUAUUGGACGAUGGGCGCAAGCCUGAUCCAGCCAUGCCGCGUGAGUGAUGAAGGCCUUGGGGUUGUAAAGCUCUUUUACCCGGGAUGAUAAUGACAGUACCGGGAGAAUAAGCUCCGGCUAACUCCGUGCCAGCAGCCGCCGUAA
rnacentral:rRNA from 1 species